UUCUAACAAAAUUCAAUUAAUUUGGAUAUCUUUACGCCGUUAAACGAGAAAACGCCUCAUAUCGACCAUUAAAAUUACAAAUUUUGAAACCCUUUGAUCAUUAGGCAAAUGAUGUCGAAAAGGUUUGAAAUUUGAUUUCUAAAUACUUCAAAUAGUAUAGAUCAUGUUCAACGGAGCCGAUCGUCAAUUUGGAAGUUCUAUCAUCGAAAAUAAAUCAGUAGUAAAACGGCUCGUUUACUACCGAUAGUAUUCUAGCUCAACUCUCUCUCUCUCUCUCUCUCUCUCUCUCUAUAUAUAUAUAUAUAUAUAUGAGAACGUC
rnacentral:lncRNA from 1 species